rnacentral:tRNA from 1 species
GUGGCUGUGGUGAAGCGGUUAACACGGCGGAUUGUGGUUCCGUUAUUUCGAGGGUUCGAUCCCCUUCAGCCACC